CCGUAACUCAUCUAUUCAAAAUGGUUACCCACCAUUAUUGGAGUGAAAUAUGUUAUUUCCACUUGAUGGAAAUUGCCAAGUGUUUUCGACGGAAAUCAGAAAUGGCACCUUGACGAUGCGAAGUCUUGCCAAAUGGAUAAAUUAGGCACGUUGACAACAUUUCAAUUCGAGAAAACCUAAUCGUGCCUUAAUUUUGACAAAAACGUUCACCAAAAGCCCCAGAUAUAGAAGAAAAUCUCAUUAUUGAAGAAGAAUUGUUGGACAGAGAGGAAGAGGGACCACAUGGAGGUAAAUUUUUAUCUGUUAGGAUGGUUACGAUAGAAUCUGUACAUUUUUUUAUCUGGGCAAAAAUUAAAUGGGGUUUUUUAUUAUUAUUUUCUAUACGAUUUAUGUCAUUUAGUAUUGGAAUAUUCGUAUGUUUAAUUUUCAAUUAGAAGUUAUCAAAAAUCCUAAGUUUUUCCAAUGCAGCCAUGAACUUGAGGAUGAAGAAUUGGUACCUCCUGAAUGCUAAUUGAGUGAUUCAGAUGAUUACCGGAACGAUGAUGGUUUUCAGUACGACAAGAAUGCAUCAGAACGUGUUGCUGUGGAAUUGAAUGCAGACCCUAAAGGAAGGACAUUGAUGAAUCUUGGCAAAAUGAGGUUACAACUUGGUGAAAAUUUAGUUUUAGGCCAAAUGAUUAUUAGAGAAGAGAACACGGGGAGAGUAGACUAUGAAUGGAGGAUUUGUGUCUCAUGG
rnacentral:lncRNA from 1 species